GGCUGCUUGCCAGACCCACUUCACUACUUGCUCGCCCUUUUUUUUUUCGCUUUGGCUGUUUUGGUUGUUGUCGCGCGCUUACGUUAGGGUGGCCGAGCAUGUCCAACAACAUGCUCGCACUGCCCAAGGUGCUGCUCAUGGGGCUACGGAAGUCGGGCAAAAGCAGCAUCCAGAAGGUUGUCUUUGAAGGUAUGCAGCCGCACGACUCGGCGACCUUGGCGACCACCGUACAGCCGGAGAAGAGCACCGUGCACUCGAACGACUUUGUGAAUUUUGAGGUGUGGGACUUUCCGGGCCAAAAUGAUCCAUUUGACUCCAGUAACGCCAGCCGCUAUGACGUGAAUCAGCUGCUGGAGAACUGUGGCGCGAUUGUGUACGUGCUGGACUGCCGCGAGCUAAUCGACGACGCCCGUGCGCGGUUGCUCGACACCAUCAGCGCUGCGUACCGGUACAAUCCCGAGCUGUGUGUUGAGGUGUUUAUUCACAAGGUCGACGCCCUGAGUGAAGACCACCAGGCCGACCUGCUGGCGAGCCUGCAGCGUCGUGUGGAGGAGGAAGCAAAGCAGUUGCUGGAGAACGUGCAGCCGCUACGUCUAAACUUCAACCUCACCUCUAUCUUCGACCACUCCGUCUUCCAAGCAUUCUCGCUAGUGGUGCAGAAGCUGAUCAAAUCCAAGACGCCGUACAUAACGGAGCUGCUGCAGAUGCUCAACUCAAACAGCAAUAUCGACCUCUCCUACCUCUUCCUUAGCCACUCCAAAAUCUACGUCGCCGUGGACGAGCGCAACCGCCUCAAGUCGCGCACCUACGACCUCUGCAGCGACGCCAUUGAAGUGGUCGUGAAGAUGAGUCGCAUUUACAUGCGGCAACGUGACGGCGCCGCCGGAGGUGUGAAGGAUGCCUCGGCGGACUCGGUGCACGCUUUGGCCGCUUCCGCUACCAGCUGCGCCAUCUUCUCGUCUUUGGACAGUGCAGACGAAUGCGCCUCUGACGUGUCCGAGUUGUACCGCGGCGCAAAUGCAGUGAUUCAGCUCAGCAACGAGGACUGCAUCUACGUCCGCGAGCUGCCAAGCUCCCUGACCUUGGUGCUGAUGAUGAAGCAGACACACCUCGAAAACCGUGCGUUGAUUGACCGUAACGUGGACAUAUUCUACAAGGCUGCCUUUGACAUCUUCAACACGAGUGCAUCCUAGGUGAGGCAAUGCUCGAGAGAGAGAGAGAGAGAGGCACGCAAGGGCGCACAGGAGGCGUUACGCCGAACCGCUCAACACUGAAAACGUGUUCAUGGCGCGUGCAGGAUAACUCUCCUGUUCUUGCUUUCUUUUUUUGCUGCUGUUCUCGUCGCAUGUUCGGAUGUUGAAGAACAGGCUCCUCGUUCUGCACUGCCUCCCCUCCUGGAUGCGUGUACGUGUUGGCAAAAGGAGAACGGAAACGCAUCGAGGGACGCUCUCCCGGUUGUUGCUGACGGCUGCGUCGCGCGCUCUCCAUGCUGCGGCGGUGUCUUGUGGGCAUGCCUGCAAACCCCCCCUCCCCCCUCCUCCUCCUCGAGAGAAAAACAGGGAAGCCGAAUACGUCCUGCUUGAUCUCUGCAACGCCCUCUCCCGCCAACACUCGAACUAUAUGUACGCCUUGGCGGCCGCACAUUUCUAUGAGAGUAUUCCGCUUCUAUCGGCACUGCAGGGCCCCCAAAAUGCCUGUGCAUUGAAUGCGUUUUUUUUUUUGGACAAACUGGGGGAGAGGGACGCGCGAUCUCACCUUUGCUAGUUUUCUGCUUGCACGCCUCUCGUUCUCCCCUCUCGCUCUCCUCUUGUGAUGGCGCAUCUGAUUUCGUCUGGGAGGCAG
rnacentral:misc_RNA from 1 species